rnacentral:rRNA from 1 species
AAAUUGAAGAGUUUGAUCAUGGCUCAGAUUGAACGCUGGCGGCAGGCCUAACACAUGCAAGUCGAGCGGAAACGAGUUAUCAGAACCUUCGGGGAACGAUAAUGGCGUCGAGCGGCGGACGGGUGAGUAAUGCCUAGGAAAUUGCCCUGAUGUGGGGGAUAACCAUUGGAAACGAUGGCUAAUACCGCAUGAUGCCUACGGGCCAAAGAGGGGGACCUUCGGGCCUCUCGCGUCAGGA